rfam:Tupaia chinensis contig55882, whole genome shotgun sequence.
GUGCUCGCUUCGGCAGCGCAUAUACUAAAAUUGGAACGAUACACAGAAGAUCAGCACGGGCCCUGCGUAAGAACGACACGCAAAUUUGUGACGCGUUCCAUAUUUUU